rnacentral:lncRNA from 1 species
GGUGCUGGAGAGGAAGGAAACAGUUAAAGGGUAGUUACUUGGUAUCCACCUUCAUGAUUUUAACUGACCCAUAACAAUGUUGUCAGCAGUAUAGGACUGUUGAACAGCCUGGUGUGUCAGGACCCCCAAAUGUCACUUCUGCCUAAAGCAUGUAUGUCACCUAUUUUUUUCUUCAAUAAAGAAAUUUAACAGCCAUUUCAAGAAAUCCCACUUUAAAAAAAAAAAAAAACAAACCUUUCUCUAUGUCCCCCCCCCUUUUUUUUAAUUUUCAAGAUAAUUUAACUCUUGUCUAAUAUUCUUGUGUAAGGGAUUAAUUUUCAGACCCCUUUAAAAGUGAGUGCCAUAAAGAGUCAAUAUAUAGUGUUGAAGUGGUAUUUCAGGCUAGGAAUUAUUCCCUUCUCUUGGAAUGUGAAGAUCUGUCGAUUCAUCCUGUCAUUAAUCCUGACAUACAGAACAAAGAAUGCAGUAACAUUAGCCCUGCCAGGUCACGUGUAGGACGUGCUUAUCCAGUUUUUUCCCCCUUUACCUGCAUAGUUGCUACAUACAUGUUUCUCACUGUAAAAGGCUGCCGCUGGGUGGCAGAAGCCAAAAGACCUUAUUAACGAGGCUAUAUUUUUCUUAACUUGAUCUGCAAUCCAGAAUUAGACCACAAUGCACCUUUGGUGGUAUCCAUAUAGGAUGCUAGCCUGCCUUGUAGUAAUGUUUUAUAUGUUAAAAACAAAAUAAAGACAUCAACCAUUUCACAUAUAUUCUACUACUAAAGGUAUCAAUGGAACAUGAAGACGAGUAUUUAGGCAGAAGCAAAACAGGAAACCAUCCUUACAAACAUGCUUACCUGCACAUCUGUUUGCAUGGUCAUGUGUACAUUCAAACAUGCACAUAAAGUGAACAAGAAAGUCAGCCAUUAUUUCACGCCAGACUUGAUUCCAUCCUGAGAAUUCAUGUUUAUAAUUAAAUGUGUGUUAAAUAUGCAAGCAUAUCACAAAUGUUCCUUGUCCUUUCAAAGUGCAUUUGUUCAUCAAGAUCAAUAGAAUCUUACCAGUGGGUAGGAAAGGAUCAUAUAAAAUAUGAAGAAAUAGCCAUAUUAAAUUUUUUGCUGUCAUUUGCCUCCGCAACAAAGCGAGUGUAAGUGUCUAAUGCUGAAGCUAGAGUGAACUCAUGUGCCAGCAGAGGCCUCCUCUCUUUAUAGCAAUUCUGACAAUAGGUUUGUUUGUUUGUUUGUUUGUUUUUACAAACUCAAGAAAAACAGACUCACUUGAAAAAAUGGAUGCCAGUCACCUGGUUCCCACUACUGUCGUAGCAGAUAGCGAAGGGACAAUCUGAGACUUGUAGAGAUGAUUUAAUGAGAAGCACAAUUUUUAUUGUGACCAGUCACGUUCUAUCACCAGGCACUGUCUUGUCUUUGCCCUUGCCUUUUCUGUAACUCACCAUUUAUUGUAUUUACAAAUCUAGUAAGGGUUUUGAUCACACCAAGUUCUUUGUAUUGAGAAGUCUAGGGCAGAGCUCUGGGGGAUUGUUAUUUUACAUUACCUGGCCUAGAGUAGCAUAUUAGACAACAGUCAUCAUUGCAAGUAGGAGGACCGUAAAUGGCAUUUUACAUGACUGCAAGUAUUGUUAUACCGAAUCCUAUUUUAAAAGAGUUUUAGUAACGGUGAGCUGAGAAAUUCUGGUCAUGGUGAGCAGCAGGCGCAAGCCAUGCAGCCUGUGGACUGUGCGCAUUGAUAUGUGGAGGCUGUUGAUUUCAACCUUUUUUAAACUUGUGUUUUUUAGUAAAAUUGCUUAUUUUUUUCCCAAAGGUGGAAUUUAAUGUUUUGUAGUGAUGAAUAUGAAAAUGCCUGUCAUCUUUAGAUCAUUGAAAGGUUAACUAACAUGAGAAUUUCAGAGCAAAUUCCAAUACUCUUUUAAAAAGCGUGUCUGCCCUCUCUUACUUCUAUGUAUUUGUUUAUCGACACACUCACCCUUUCUGAGAUAGCAUUUUGCUCCCUUGAUCCCCCCCUUUUUUUGUCCCUUCGAAGAGUAAAUGCUUUGUAUUUCUUUCUUUAAAAAAUUUACUUUAAAGAAGAAGCCACUUGAACCUUCAAUAAAGGCUGUUGCC